rnacentral:rRNA from 1 species
CUCAGUUCGGAUCGGAGUCUGCAACCCGACNCCGUGAAGCUGGAUUCGCUAGUAAUCGCGCAUCAGCCACGGCGCGGUGAAUACGUUCCCAGGCCUUGUACACACCGCCCGUCAAGCCAUGGAAGCCGGGAGUGCCUGAAGUACGCGACCGCAAGGAGCGUCCUAAGGUAAAACCGGUGACUGGGGCUAAGUCGUAACAAGGUACC